rfam:Tupaia chinensis contig20804, whole genome shotgun sequence.
GCCAAGAUUAGAGUCACAUGCUGACACAGCUCUCAUCCUGGUGUGUUGGAGUUCUCAGAGAGAAGGUACUGGUCUCAAGUCAAUGUGAGUGUAGUCACUGCUCAUCUUAGUGACAGGUCAGAAACAUGU